UAGCAGAAUAACUAUUAAAACAACCGCUAGGUGGUGCUGGAGUCGAGUUAUUAGUAAAACCCGUAUUUAUGGUCCAUUUCGCCUCAUAUUUGAGAUAUAUGUACUGGCAAUAGGGAAAGCAAUACCAU